GACGAACGCUGGCGGCGUGCUUAACACAUGCAAGUCGAACGGAAAGGCCCUGCUUGCAGGGUACUCGAGUGGCGAACGGGGGAGUAACACGUGGGUGAUCUGCCCUGCACUUCGGGAUAAGCCUGGGAAACUGGGUCUAAUACCGGAUAGGAGCCAUUUUUAGUGUGAUGGUUGGAAAGUUUUUUCGGUGUAGGGUGAGCUCGCGGCCUAUCAGCUUGUUGGUGGGGUAAUGGCCUACCAAGGCGGCGACGGGUAGCCGGCCUGAGAGGGUGGACGGCCACAUUGGGACUGAGAUACGGCCCAGACUCCUACGGGAGGCAGCAGUGGGGAAUAUUGCACAAUGGGCGCAAGCCUGAUGCAGCGACGCCGCGUGGGGGAUGACGGCCUUCGGGUUGUAAACUCCUUUCGCUAGGGACGAAGCUUUUUGUGACGGUACCUAGAUAAGAAGCACCGGCUAACUACGUG
rnacentral:rRNA from 1 species